GGGAAUAUUAUUGUGCUUUGGAUGCUAGUGGCAGAAGAUGUGAUUUUGAUCAAAGACCUGAGCUUUCUAAGGGAAGUGUGGAAUUUGUUGCUCCUACUGAAUAUAUGGUGCGGCCACCCAUGCCACCAGUAUAUUUUUUCCUUAUUGAUGUGUCAAUAUCUGCAGUUCAGUGUGGGUUGCUUGAGAUUGUGGCAAAGACCAUAAAGUCUUGUCUUGAUGAGCUACCUGGCUUCCCUAGGACACAGAUUGGCUUCUUAACUUUCGAUAGUGCAUUGCAUUUCCAUAAUUUAAAGCUUGACACAGCCUCAAAUGCUGGUGGUAGCAGAUCUGGAUGAUAUACCAUUGCCUGAUGAUCUUCUUGUCAAUUUAUCCGAUUCUAGACAUGUUGUGGAUGCAUUACUGGAUAGCUUGCCUAGCAUGUUUCAAGACAAUGUAAAUGUAGAAUCUGCCCUGCCUCACCAGGGAAACCGCCUGGGAAUCUGUGAUGCGCGUUAGAUGUGGAAAAGGGGUGCGUUUUACAACGUAUCAUGGCCAUUUUAUGCUGAGAUCAACAGAUUUAUUAGCCCUUCCAGCUGUGGAUUGUGAUAAAGCCUUUGCAAUGCAAUUAUCUUUGGAAGACACCUUGAUGACAACCAGACUGUAUACAAGUUGCUGCUAUAUACUUCCUCUUCAGGUGAAAGACGAAUUAGAGUCCAUACAGCAGCUGCACAUGUAGUAGCGAUCUUGGGGAAAUGUACCGCCAGGCGAUACUGGGCCAUUAUCUUGUUUUAAGCAGGCUUGCCUUGAAAACACACUGUCUCAUAAGCUGGAAGAUGCUCGCCAGUUAAUGCAGCUAAAGCUUGUGAAAAGCCUUAAAGAGUACCGGAAUCUCCAUGUUGUGCAGCAUCGGUUGGGUGGGAGGCUGAUAUUUCCAGAAUCCUUGAGAUUCUUGCCAUUAUAUGUAUUGUCUCUUUGCAAGUCUUUAGCUCUUCGUGGAGGUUAUGCUGAUGUUCCUCUCGAUGAACGCUGUGCGGCUGGUUACAAUAUGAUGAUAUUACCUAUAAGAAGGAUGCUUAAACUUCUCUAUCCUGGUUUAUAUAGGAUAGAUGAGAACCUCAUAAAGGGUCCCGAGGAAUUUAAUGAGUCAUCUAAGCAGUUAGCCUUGAGUGCACAAAGCUUAGAUCCCAGAGCGCUGUAUAUUUAUGAUGAUGGAUUCAGCUUCAUUGUUUGGUUAGGCAGGAUGCUGUCACCUGAUAUAGUUAAUAAUACACUUGGAGUUGACUUAUCUGGAUUCCCUGAUCUAUCCAGGCUUGCAUUGCUUGAACAUGACAAUGAGUAUUCAAGAAAACUGAUGAGGAUAAUAAGAAGAUUGAGGGAGAAGGAUCCGUCCUGUUUUCAAUUAUGCCGUGUGGUGAGGCAAGGUGAACAGCCAAGAGAAGGUUCCUUGCUGCUUUCCAACCUCUUCGAGGAUCAGGCUGCUGGAACCAGUGGUUACGUUGAUUGGAUUCUCCAAAUAUACCGCCAAUUGCAGAGUUCAUGAAGAGGGUAACACAACUUCAGUCCUCUACCUUAUGGUGUCCCACUGGUCCUCAUUUUGUGUCACAAAGCAGAAUAGGUAUUCAGUUCAGAGCUCUGAGGCUUUUCAUGUUCUGAAGGAACCACUGAGCCUGAAUCAAGAGGUGACCAGCAAUCAAGUUGCACUAUUUGGUUUGCAUUCCAUUUGUAAUAUGAUAUGCUGCUAGUUUUAUUCUUUAUAUUAUAUUUAUUUGCUUAACUUUUUGUUCUUUGAUUGUGGUAAGUAAAUUUCUUCUCGUAUCACAAUAAGAAUAUUCCUAGUGCUUCAUGAAGUUGUUUUUCUGUUCAUUGUAGGUUAUACAGCUGCUGGAAUGAGAAACAAGGGAUUAAAUAUAUUCACUUUUUUUGACUAAGAUGCAGGAAGGAAGUGGCGUUGCAACAUCUGUUCUCUGCUCAAUGAUGUUUCUGGGGAGUAUUAUUGUGCUUUGGAUGCUAGUGGCAGAAGAUGUGAUGUAGAUCAACGACCUGAGCUUUCUAAGGGAAGUGUGGAAUUUGUUGCUCCUACUGAAUAUAUGGUGCGACCACCAAUGCCACCACUAUAUUUUUCCUUAUUGAUGUAUCGGUAUCUGCAGUUCGGUCUGGUUUUCUUGAGGUUGUGGCAACGACCAUUAAGUCCUGUCUUGAUGAACUCCUGCCUGAUGAUUCCUAUAGGAGGUCCUCUGGGUUACAAUUCAAGAGAACAAAUUCAAUACCCUAACAUAGGACCUCCUAUAGGAGGUAAUCUUCAAGGUCUGGUUGAAGAGUUCCAGUCAUUGUCCGUUGGGUCAGCUCCUGGGUCACUUGAUCAUGGUGUUGAUGUCAAAUCUUUGCCAAGGCCACUAAGUGGUGAUGAAGAGCCUAUUAAAAUUCUUGAGACAUUCCCUUUAAAUUGCCACCCAAGAUUUUUGAGACUGACAACUUAUGCAAUACCGAGUUCUCAGUCAUUGCUUGCUAGGUGGCAUUUGCCUCUUGGAGCAGUGGUUCAUCCUCUAGCAGAAGUUCCUGAUGGGGUAAAUUUAUAAUUUCUUUUGCUUAUGGUAGUGGUGCUCUUGUUAUAUUCAUACAAACUACUUGUUAACAAUUUUGUCUUUCAGGAGGAAGUACCAAUUGUCAAUUUUGGACCAGCUGGCAUUAUUCGGUGUCGAAGAUGUCGAACAUAUGUGAAUCCAUACGUGACUUUCACGGAUGCAGGAAGGAAGUGGCGUUGCAACAUCUGUUCUCUGCUCAAUGAUGGUAAUAACCAAGCUGAUUUUUUUUUUUGCUUUUUCUCAAUGAUUGUAACUCCAUUUACUGAAAUUUCAGGCUCUGAGUUGUGCAUUUGCUUCUUUCUUAAUUCUGUUAUAAAGAUAUCUCAGUUGCUAAUUGAUAAAGAUUUAUACUGUAUAACUGAUCAGUUUCCAUAUUAUCAUCACCUUCCUUUUGAUAAUAUUUCCUGCUUGCUUUGCGCUGUUUAUUGUAAUGGUUAAGCCUGCAAAAUCACAUGUAGUGGACCAUUUUGACAAUUUAGGAGUAAAUGAAGAUGGUCUCUUUUGUUAUAAGGAAUACCAUCAUGACUGUAUUUAUUGAUAUAUCAAACAACAGCUUUCUAGUUGUGUAGAAGUAAUCCCGGCUAAUGUUUAUCUCAAUAAUGGUGACAUUGGGGAAAAGAAGGAAUCUUAAUGAAAAAUUUUACUCCUAAUAGGUUCAGAUUCAGGGCAGGCACAACCAGAACCAAUAAAAUGUGUCGAUGGUCCUUCAAGUGCUUACACAUCUACCACAUAGGACAAGUUUGCUGGUGCUGGAUUAUGGUGGUCUUGCCAGGUGGUAGACAUUGCAUUACUGCUUAUCUCAGUAUCACAUGGCACGUGUACGUGUAUAAUAUGUGUGGAUUGCACAUGGUGCUUGGCAAACGGACCAUGUCUCCUGAGAUGAUUGGAAUUUGGGUCAAGAGAAGUGAUGGUGGUGGAAGGAUAAGAUCUGAUGGAGGCAAUUAUAAGUUUUAUAUGAUGACAAUUUAAAGUGAUACAGUUGAUGGGAUCAAGGGAGGCAACCAGAUAAUAGUUCUGGACUUGGUUCAACAACCUUAAUCAUUGCUUCGAAGGUUUAGAAAAUCAAAGGCUUUGUUAACGUUAUAAUCUAGUAGCAGAACAUUUUUCGAAUCUGAUGUCACUUUGAAUUGUAUAGAAACUUUUGGAGUGUCUUAUUUGUAUUGCAGAAGAUGUGGCAUUAGAUCUAAUCCAUUAGGGUUUGAAUAUAACUAUAUGUAAGAGGAAGGUGAGUGGUUUGGAAUCUAGAAGAAUAGAUGUAUGAGCUGGAGGUCUCAAAACAUCAUGCACACUAUAAAGGAUUCGAAAAUCAACAAGAUAUAAAUUGCCUUGUUCUGGAAAGGUGUGAUUAGGAGAAGAGACUAGAGAGUGCAGGGACCACUGGAAAUAAAAUGAUUGAUCCCAACUUGGCUCAAAAGUUAUGUGAACAUUGAAUUUAAGAAUUCAUAAUUUUAAAUAGCCAUAGAAGAAUGACAAAAAUAUACUCUACCUUGAUGUGUUAUACACCAAUGGGUGAAAUUUUAAUUAAUGGAUUAAAAGCACUCAGUUCACAAACUAACAAUACACGCAAUUUAUUUGAAUUGCUCCAAGUGGCUCUGCGGGGCAUGUGCAUGCACACAUGCGCACAUCACACUGAGUGAUCAAACUUACCCAGAGCUUAUUGUGAUGCCACAAACUGAAAAUUUGCUUUCUUGGUAGAGAACUGAUCCUUAAGAGUCUUGAAAAUUAGCACAGGAGUUUCUUAUUAGAAUAGGACAUUCAAAGGAUUGUGAAUGGUGCUUUUUUCUGCCAGAAGUAAAAAAGGAGGGGUGUUGGAUCCAAUGGUUCAGAUGUACUGCCCUCUAUGUAAGAAUCAAUCCCUUCGAACUUCUUUGACUGGUCCUGGUCCUGACUUGCUGGUGGAAGAGCAAUCAAUAUUGGUCAGGUCUCAGCAUGAACUUGUUAGUGAUGGUCCUUGACAUGGUUUCUGUAAUGAUGGACAGUCAACCAAUUAAUUUUCCUUGAUAAUUGACGAAAUUGUGAAGAUAAGAUUAGGGAUGCAAAUGAGCUGAUCUUGAGUGAGCUUAGGGCAGCUUGAACUUGGUCAAGCUUGUCAUGAGUUGGCUAAGCCAAGCUCAAGCUCUGUUCGUAUAUGUUUGUACUGGCUUGAGCUUGGCUUGAUUAGGCUCGGUGAUGAAUACAGAGGGCAUAAUGGUGAGGGAGUGGUAAACAGAGAUGGGAAGAGGCCUCCUCCAUUAGUUCAUCUAAUUACCGGAAUUUAGCUUGCCACUCAAAAUAAAAGGAUAUCUAUAGAUCAUGUUGGUACAAAAUGUGAUUAGAAAGGUAUAAAUGUAAUAUCACACGCAAACAAUAAACAUUUAGUGUUACAUGAAUGUUAUUUAUAUAUUUAUAUUAGUGAUCUUAGUCAAGCUGAAUGUGAGCAGACCAGUCAUAGCUCCUGUUCAGCUUGUUUAUAUUUGGAGCUCAAAAUUUUAUCUCAAGCUUGGUUUGUAUUGAUCCGAAUACUAGCUGCUGACUAGCAGCUCAGCUGGUUGGCAUCCCAAGGUAGGAGACAGUAAAGCAAAAUAGCUCCUCUCAUGAAAUUUGAUUCAACUAAUACUUAAUGUAGGUGUAUACAACUUAACUAUAUGUAAUCUUGUAUAAAAUCUGUCCAUCAAAUAACUUAACGGUUCUCCUAUGUUGUGUAGAUGUUAGUGUGUAUGUUUUCAUCAUUCAGUAAAAUAUUCUUGCAGACCUGAUUGUUGAGUUAAUUGAUUUCUUUAUCUUUUUUGAUUGGUACAAAAUUAUUCAUUUGUACCAAUAAAAUUAUACUAAGUAUUAAUUAUUGGUAUUUUACAAUCUCUGUGGGUAGCAUUUGAUAACAUGGCUUUCCGGUGAUGUCAUCUUUGCCGUUAUUUAUGUAAUUUUGCUGCCAAGCCUUAUGCUAAUACUUGCAUAUCUGUCUCUACUAAAAGCAUUAUUUAGAGAAUUAUUCAUUUGUACUAAUAAAAUUAUACUGAUACUCAGUUAUUGUAAUUCUACAAUUUCUGUGGGUAGGAUUUGAGAACAUGGCUUUCAGAUGAUGUCAUUUUUUCCCUUAUUUUCAUAAUUUUGGUGCCAAGCUUUAUGCUAAUACUUGCAUAUUUGACUCAUUUAGUUUCUGGGGAGUAUUAUUGUGCUUUGGAUGCUAGUGGCAGAAGAUGUGAUGUAGAUCAACGACCUGAGCUUUCUAAGGGAAGUGUGGAAUUUGUUGCUCCUACUGAAUAUAUGGUGCGACCACCAAUGCCACCACUAUAUUUUUUCCUUAUUGAUGUAUCGGUAUCUGCAGUUCGGUCUGGUUUUCUUGAGGUAACCACUUUUUACUCUGGGAAGCUUGUCUUUACCUCUAUAGUGUCUGCUUCUUUCAUUCCCCUGACAGUUAUAUUAGCUUCGUGAUCAAUUUUUGUAAUUUUACUCUAUAUCUAUCAUCUGAAUCAUGGAAUUCAUAUUCAUUUUUGACAUAUUUAUGCAGGUUGUGGCAACGACCAUUAAGUCUUGUCUUGAUGAACUACCUGGCUUCCCUAGGACACAGAUUGGCUUCUU
rnacentral:lncRNA from 1 species